ensembl:lncRNA
CAAACGUGAGGCCAAAGCGGGAGGCCGUGGGGCGCGAGAGCCUGGCCGCGGCCAUCUUGGCUAAUUUGCUCUUUCCCUGCGGUGUGUAUCAGGGGUUGGGGUACCAUGUGUGUGACUGCGUUCAGAGGUGGCAGCCUCAGAUGGCACCAUGUUCGCAGGUACAUAGGGCUUGACCCUGCCUCUCUGCCCACUGUCCCUCACCUCCCACAAUGCUCAGGGGCGGGCAUCCUCUGAAUGCCUCAGCCAUCCCAGGGAAUGGAAACUGUCUUGUCAUCUCCUGCCCUGGUGGAUACCCCUCUCCUCCUGCAGGUGUGAUGGUGGAGUGGAUUGUGCAGAGUGUGUAGAGAACUUCUGACAGGUCCAGGUUACUCACAGAUGUAAGGGGCAGAGAUGGGAGAUGGGCCUGGAUGGGGCCUGUGUGGGCCUGAGGCAAGCGAUGGCAAGACAGUGCUGUGGACGUCUGUUAGGGCACAUCUAUAAUACAGAAGAAAGGCCCAGGCUGAGCCAACACAAGACUGGUGUCUGGCCCUUAGGAGGCCUACAAAAUGCUUGUUAAAUCAUGGUCUGCCAGCCGGAGAGCUCCGAGUCCUCCACUUCCUUGUUAGAGCCUGGCUUGCUAUGAGACCCUGUGAAGAUCACAUUUCCAGCCCUGACUUCGUGGACAGAAGGGCCCCCCCGGGAUCCUCAUCCUCCUGUCAGUCAACUGCACCUGGGAAACUCAUCUCAUGGCCCUACUGUGGACACUGUGCCUUUCGUGUUUGAUAUUUGUGGUCAUUUCAGUAAAGCACACAGCCUACUCCAUGCCUGAUGCUUCUGCCACUUGGCCCUAUGAGGUGUAUAUUAUACCUAAUUAUAGACAGAUUUGGAGAAGGCAAUGGCACCCCACUCCAGUACUCUUGCCUGGAAAAUCCCAUGGGUGGAGGAGCCUGGUAGGCUGCAGUCCAUGGGGUUGCUAAGUAGGACAUGACUGAGCAACUUCACUUUCACCUUUUGCUUUCAUGCAUUGGAGAAGGAAAUGGCAAUCCGCUCCAGUAUUCUUGCCUGGAGAAUCCCAGGGACGGGGGAGCCUGGUGGGCUGCCGUCUAUGGGGUCGCACAGAGUCAGACAUGACUGAAGUAUACUUAGAAAUAGCAAUAGACAGAUUAAAAAACUGAAGGCCUGAGACAUCUGUCAGUUACCAAGGCCACCCCACAGUGAGCAGAGGAGCCAGAUGUGAGCCAGGUCUGAGGACCCAGUCAGUGCCUGGCCCCUUAGCUGCUGCCUAUCUCCAUCAUCCCAGAGAAUCAGAGUCUGAGUGGGAUGCUGUCUGGACCACUCUGGGAUCUCUAACCCCCAGCACAACACUUAAUCCAUGAUGAAAAUUCAGCAUAUGCUGUGGACUGAGGCAUGAUGUUACAUCUGUAUGGAGCUUAGGUCUGGAUCUGGAGUUGGCUGCUUGGGCGUUGCUUGGAAGGAGCCAAGCCUUCCUGGUGUCUUCUGACCACACCCUGCACUCUUCCAAAGCAGCAAGUGAGUGGAGCAAGGAGCUUGGCUUACUGAAAAUCCUUCUGGAGGAGGAUCUCAUGGGAAUUGAUCUAUAAACAUGAGGGCUGAACCACAAAGUUCUCCGUCUUUCUUAGCUCUGACGUGCUCUGCAUCUGAGACAACCAUUUUUGGCUGAAUGACUCCCAAGUGUCUGCUUGGGAGAACUUGCCUUUGUACGCAUAGUUGACACUGAGCACCACCCACGUUGACUCAAGAAAACCUUCUGGGCCUGGUGGUGGUGAGUAGGUGCUUCUUGAUGAAAGACAGUCUCUUCAUUCAAAUCCAGUGUAAGCUGGUAUGAGGCUGAAAAGUGAUGGGAGAGACAGACGUGGGCAACAAGGCACCCUGCUUCUUCCUCUCAUGACUUCCUCUGAGAUGGGUGCAGGCCCACUGUGAUGGACACCCCACACAGGGCACUUGGCCCCCAAAUUCUCUGCCUGGAAUCUCACUGUUAAUGUCCUUCUUUCGAGUUUUCCUCUACAAACUCAUCUCAAACCCAGCCUUACCCCAGGGAGGAUGGCACGUUUGAGGCCCCUCUCCAUACCAUGUGAGUUUCCCAGACCCUCGCAGGCAGCCUGAGCUCCCAAAGAAAUAGAAGGCAGUGGGGAAGGGCUCCAAGGGGGCCAGGCCAGGGAGUGUGGUUCAGACAGCCCUCGUCAUGGGGCAGAGCCUGAACACAGGCCUGGUGGAUUAGAAGGGGUGUUUGGUGAGCCCACAACCAGCCCGCAGCAGUGGGAGCUCUGCUCAGGCUUUGUAGACCAUCCAAUGGUCUCUUUCAAAACAGGGUUUUGAUGAGUUAAGUGUAAAUGAAUCAGAAACACAUGGGUUGGAUUUCCCUCCAAAUGCAAUGGGGUUUGAACACAG